GAAAGUGUAGCUCGGUGGUAGAGCUCAUGGCUAGCAUGCACGAGGUCCUGGGUUCAAUCCCCAGUACCGCCA
rnacentral:tRNA from 1 species